rnacentral:rRNA from 1 species
AUUGAACGCUGGCGGCAGGCCUAACACAUGCAAGUCGAGCGAGCGGCGGACGGGUGAGUAAUGUCUGGGAAACUGCCUGAUGGAGGGGGAUAACUACGGGAAACGGUAGCUAAUACCGCAUACCAUCAGAUGUGCCCAGAUGGGAUUAGCUAGUAGGUGGGGUAACGGCCCACCUAGGCGCCGAGCCCUAGCUGGUCUGAGAGGAUGACCAGCCACACUGGAACGUCGACACGGUCCCGACUCCUACGGGCGGCAGCAGUGGGGAAUAUUGCACAAUGGGCGCAAGCCUGAUGCAGCCAUGCCGCAUGUGUGAAGAAGGCCUUCGGGUUGUAAAGCACUUUCAGCGGGGAGGCGUUACCCGCAGAAGAAGCACCGGCUAACUCCGUGCCAGCAGCCGCGGUAAUAC